rnacentral:rRNA from 1 species
AUUGAACGCUGGCGGCAGGCCUAACACAUGCAAGUCGAACGCGUGGCGGACGGGUGAGUACUGUCUGGGAAACUGCCUGCUGGAGGGGGAUAACUACUGGAAACGGUAGCUAAUACCGCAUACCAUCAGAUGUGCCCAGAUGGGAGUAGCUAGUUGGUGGGGUAACGGAUCACCAAGGCGACGAUCCCUAGCUGGUCUGAGAGGAUGACCAGCCACACUGGAACUGCGACACGGUCCAGACUCCUACGGGAGGCAGCAGGGGGGAAUAUUGCACAAUGGGCGCAAGCCUGAUGCAGCCAUGCCGCGUGUAUGAAGAAGGCCUUCGGGUUGUAAAGUACUUUCAGCUGGGAGGCGUUACCCGCAGAAGAAGCACCGGCUAACUCCGUGCCAGCAGCCGCGGUAAUAC